AGUGAACGCUGGCGGUAGGCCUAACACAUGCAAGUCGAACGGCAGCACAGUAAGAGCUUGCUCUUACGGGUGGCGAGUGGCGGACGGGUGAGGAAUACAUCGGAAUCUACUUUUUCGUGGGGGAUAACGUAGGGAAACUUACGCUAAUACCGCAUACGACCUACGGGUGAAAGCAGGGGACCUUCGGACCUUGCGCGAUUGAAUGAGCCGAUGUCGGAUUAGCUAGUUGGCGGGGUAAAGGCCCACCAAGGCGACGAUCCGUAGCUGGUCUGAGAGGAUGAUCAGCCACACUGGAACUGAGACACGGUCCAGACUCCUACGGGAGGACGCAGUGGGGAAUAUUGGACAAUGGGCGCAAGCCUGAUCCAGCCAUACCGCGUGGGUGAAGAAGGCCUUCGGGUUGUAAAGCCCUUUUGUUGGGAAAGAAAAGCAGCAGGUUAAUACCCCGCUGUUCUGACGGUACCCAAAGAAUAAGCACCGGCUAACUUCGUG
rnacentral:rRNA from 1 species